rnacentral:rRNA from 1 species
GACGAACGCUGGCGGCGUGCUUAACACAUGCAAGUCGAACGGAAAGGCCCCCAUCUUGGUGGGGGUGCUCGAGUGGCGAACGGGUGAGUAACACGUGGGUGAUCUGCCCUGUACUUCGGGAUAAGCUUGGGAAACUGGGUCUAAUACCGGAUAGGACCAUGGUUUAGUGUCUCAUGGUGGAAAGAUUAUUGUUUUGGUGCAGGAUGAGCUCGCGGCCUAUCAGCUUGUUGGUGGGGUAAUGGCCUACCAAGGCGUCGACGGGUAGCCGGCCUGAGAGGGUGGACGGGCACAUUGGGACUGAGAUACGGCCCAGACUCCUACGGGAGGCAGCAGUGGGGAAUAUUGCACAAUGGGCGCAAGCCUGAUGCAGCGACGCCGCGUGGGGGAUGACGGCCUUCGGGUUGUAAACUCCUUUCGUUAGGGACGAAGCCACGCUUGUGGGGUGUGGUGACGGUACCUUUGUUAAGAAGCACCGGCUAACUACGUG